AAAAAAAAUCUGAAACCCUCUUUCCCUCUAUCUUCCUUCUUUUCCCUCUAUCUUCCCUGAGCUCUAUCUUCCCUCUUUCUCUCUAUCUUCCUUUUUUCCCCCUCUUUUCCCUCUAUCUUCCCCGAAGCUCUCUUCUCCGAAGCCCUCUUUCUCUCUCUCUCUCACUACUGUGUUGCCUCUGCCAGGCCCGAACGACCAUCAUCCCAUCGCCGAAGCAGUACACGCGCCAGCCCAAUCGAACCCUCGACCCUUGAAACGUCGACCCCCUUGAGCUCACCACCACACGCGUUGCCCAGGGCUGUCGACCAACGGUCUGAAGCCGUCCGCCUCUUGUAUUGCUAUAUGUUUGUUGGCUCUUGUAUUUCCAUUUUUAGUUUGAUUAACUUCCAAUCUAUAGAGAGAUGCUUUUGCUCGUACAACUAAGAAGAGGUGUUGGUUUCUUUCUUCUGACAACAUAAAGUCUUUUGUUUAUAUAGAUUUUAGAUGUCCAAGAAGAUCAAUAGGUGAGCAAGAAGCGAGGAACAGGUGAGUGAAAAAUUGAUUGACUUUGAAGCUUUUCCUUUGGUGUUGAGUAAUGAAAUAAACUACUGCAUCUUUAAACUAAAAGAUUAACAAGAUGACUAAAGAUAUCUCAAUGAAAAAAGAGUUAAAAUAUGUAUGAUGGCUGUAUAUUAUGUAUGUAAGUGCAGUGGGGUAGUUCAUAUGGAGGUGUGUGUGAAUAGUAGAUUGGUUGGAAUAUAUGAUGGUGUGGUGAGGUUAUGCAAGUUAGGCGUGUGUGUGUUAGAGGUGUAGUGGGAUUAUGCAGGUUGGAUUAAUAUAUUCGAAAGGGUAGAACAAUUAGUGGUCUAUGAACAAAAGUGUGAAAAGAAAAAUCGGCAAAGACAAGGGCUAUUUAAUUGCUAGUGGAAGAAAAAGUGAAACAUGACAAGACAAGAACUAUUUGACAAUUUAACCCAAUUCCUAGUAUUAUUAGUCAAUGCUCACUAUUUGUUUAUGUUGUAGUCAAUACAUAAAUUAUAUUGCAUUUAUCUUAUAAGAAUAUUUCUUUUAUUAUAAUAUUUUUUUGUACAUUUGCUUGCUUACAUUAUAUGAGCAUUGCUUUUAUUAUAUUAUUCAUAUAGUUGAUCCAUUAUUAUGCUAACAGUAACCAAAACUAUAAGAUAACAUGAACAUAACAUGUGAUUAUUGUAGGCAUUUACUUUUACGUGCUAGGGGUAGACUUUAGGCCUUUAUUAGUUUCCUUUCUAGUCAUCAUAUUGCUUUUAUCUUAUAUGAUCAUCACUUUUAUUAUAAUAAUUGUUUUGUACCUACUUGAUUGCUUGCUUUUAUUAGAAAAAUAUGAAGAGUUGCUUUUUUUUAUUGAUGGGAAACUUGUGAAGACCCUCAAAAUCAAGAAUUGUCAUAGACAUUAUUGAUGCUAAAACAGAUACUAGUAAACGAUAAGAACUAAUGCCAAAUUCCAUAAAGAGUGAUGUAGAAUGGAGAGAUUUGGUUAAACAAAAUUAUAUCUAAGAACAUAUGAUACAUUUAUAACUAGUUGAUUUAAUGUUUAUAUAUGUAACUAGUUUAUAUAAAAUUAGUUGCCACUAAUAAGUUUUUGUAGUCAUUUUUUUUAAGAUGGUACUCCAUCAACAAGUGGAGGACGGUCCAAUAUUCUUCAUCUUUCAAAGCUUGCUAUUGAUUAAAAGAGGUCUAUAUUGAGAUGCAUUUCUUUGGCGCAAUACUAGACAACAUUGACAGUUGAAGUUUUUAGAAUAAAAAAUAUAUUUCACUAACAUUGUAUACAUUUCUUGUUUAAUAUUUGGUGAUGAUAAAAUUUGAUUGUAGUAUAAACUAUCAUGUAAUAUGAUUUUGUAAGCCGAGUGGACUAAAUACUGAAAUGAUAUUUUUGAGUAAUUAAUAAAAAAAUAUUUUGUUGUA